CUGGCGGCGUGCUUAACACAUGCAAGUCGAACGAGACGGGUAUUAGCUUGCUAAUACUGUCAGCUAAGUGGCGAACGGGUGAGUAAUAUAUAGGUAAUGUGCCUUGAAGAAGGGGAUAACAGUUGGAAACGACUGCUAAGACCCUAUAUGCCUUUAAAACAAAAGUUUGCAAGGGAAAUAUUUAUAGCUUCAAGAUCGGCCUGUACAGUAUCAGUUAGUUGGUGAGGUAAUGGCUCACCAAGACAAUGACGCUUAACUGGUUUGAGAGGAUGAUCAGUCACACUGGAACUGAGACACGGUCCAGACUCCUACGGGAGGCAGCAGUGGGGAAUAUUGCACAAUGGGGGAAACCCUGAUGCAGCAACGCCGCGUGGAGGAUGACACAUUUCGGUGCGUAAACUCCUUUUAUAUAGGAAGAUAAUGACGGUACUAUAUGAAUAAGCGCCGGCUAACUCCGUGCCAGCAGCCGCGGUAAUACGGAGGGCGCAAGCGUUACUCGGAAUCACUGGGCGUAAAGAGCGUGUAGGCGGAUAGAUAAGUUGGGAGUGAAU
rnacentral:rRNA from 1 species